UACGAAGGGUGCAAGCGUUAAUCGGAAUUACUGGGCGUAAAGGGUGCGUAGGCGGUUCGUUAAGUCUGUCGUGAAAUCCCCGGGCUCAACCUGGGAAUGGCGAUGGAUACUGGCGAGCUAGAGUGUGUCAGAGGAUGGUGGAAUUCCCGGUGUAGCGGUGAAAUGCGUAGAGAUCCGGAAGAACACCGGUGGCGAAGGCGGCCCGCUGGGCAACUGCUGACACUGAGGCGCGACAGCGUGGGGAGCAAACAGG
rnacentral:rRNA from 1 species